ACGUUGUGCCCCGGUCUCCUCACCUAUAGGUUCAAGUUCCUGCAGGAGAUGAUGGUCCUCUGGGCCUUUCUCCUUGUCAUCUGGUUGCCUCAGGUCAUGCUGGGAGGAUAUUGGACCUAUAAUCUGAAAUGCUACGAUUGUUGGACCAUCAACAACUUCUUUUGUACAAGCAUGACAUUGUGUCCUAAACACCUCAGGCGCCGUAUGACCAUCUCUGUUCGUUUGAACAGUCGGGAGCUACUUGUUUACAAGAACUGUACGAGCAACUGCACGUUUGUGUAUCCAAGCGAAGUGCCUGAUGAAGCCCCAAGAUCACAAUUUUUUAAAACUAAUAGUUUCUAUUUUGUUCGUUGUUGUGGUAGUAUUAAUUGCAAUGAAGGAGGUCCUAUUUCUCUUGAAAAGGAUAUUGUACAUGAGGAUAUAAUUGAGGAGCAUGUAGUAGCAAUGGCACACAUGGGGGAGUCGUCAUUUUCCCUGAGCAUUGCCUCCAUCCUGGUCAGCCAUACACUGACAUGAGAAGCCCUCUGGGAGGGUCUGAUCUCUUCCCUCAUUCCUCAGAGCGAGUUCACUCUCCUUUCCUCCCUUGUGAGCCAGGGAUACUGACCCACAGGGCCCCAGGUGGACCAGUUACCCUUUCCCAGCUUAUUUCAAGAGAGAA